AAAAGGAAUGCUCAUCAGCUAUUUCAAAAUAUUUUUUAUACAAAGCUACCGAGGAAUCAUCACAAUUGCAGCACCGCUCUAAAACAGAAAUAACCACAAUCACAUUACCCUACCAUCAAAAGUUAACUUGCAUCAUGUCUUAUUGAUAAUUUAUUGGCUCUCUAGAGCUAGCUAAUAGAUCCAUGAUUAAAAGAUUUACAAUAAGAGAACAUGUAUGACACAAAAAAGAACAAAAAUUUUCCUCAAACACACAUCCAUGAGUUGUUCCUCAAUACCGGCAGAAAUUAAGAUAAACCUGCAAAUGUAAUGUUACCGCCUCACUUUAAAGGUUGCUAAUCAGAGUGAACUGUUCUAAAACUCAUCUAAAAGCAACAGGACAAGUAACUAAAAACACAAAGAAAAUAACCAAACUAAUUGUGCCCCCACUAACAAAUUAUCCAUCUUCCAAACAACACAAGAAAGCUAAAAGACAAUUUCAAAUCAGUUACAUGGAUUAAAACAUACAUUCAGAUAUUACAAUGUCGAUUCGCUAAAAAUAUGAUUGCUAGAAUCAUGAAAGCCAAAGGAUAUAAUAAGGAAUUUGAAUUUUAAUCAGUUAAAAUCAAUAAUCAAGACUAUCUAAUACCCAAUUCGAAUUAAAGAAUAAUGCUUAAAUCCUAUCUCUACUGAUUUUAAUUAUUAAAACCCCUCAAUUUUUGCCAUGCAAUGAAGCAAAAAUCUUUAAUUUAUUGGGGAAAAAAACUGAAAUUGAAUAAGAUUCAUCAAUAAAGUUAAUUUUCACAAGCAAAUUAUUAAAAAGUGUUGUAAGAGUCGGUUCUUCUCAAAAGCUCUUGAGGCGUACGAUAAGCGUGCGAGCUAUCCUACACCAUCACCAUUGAAAUGGCGAAGCGAGGAAGGCCACGGAAGAACCGCCCAAAUAAAGUGCACAUAAGGCUUCUCCGGUUGUUUCUGUGCCGGGAUCUGGUGCUGGUGACAAGAGUACGCCGCCAAGUGCCAUGGUUCCGCAGCGACCUUUACCGACUUCCAAUGGAGCAGCCCCAGGAGAUUUAGUUUCGCCGACAACAUCAAACCCUAUUAAGAAGGAACACGGGAGUGUUGGCGACUCCCAUGGUGGAGUGUCAAGGAGACACCGAUACCGGAGGAACCCCCUGUUCAAUCAGUGGUAUCGGCGACACCGAUACCGGAGGAACCCCCUGUUCAAUAAGUGUUUGAGAACAAUCGGAUGGCAAACAAAGCUAUUUUACUUGGUGCAACAAUCAGGAUGACAGAAUUGACUGGUGUGUGGCUAAUUCUGGUUGGUUCAGCCAGUUUGCUCAUGUGGUUGCAGAAGUCUUGGAGAGAAAUAUCUCGGAUCAUUGCCCUGAUUGAUUACACUCAGCAAAAUGUCAAGAGAACUUCUCCAUUCAGGUUCUUAAAUGUUCUCACUCAGCAUGAUGAUUUUAUUACAAUUGUACACAAUGUUUGGCAGAGGCAUAAACUUAAAGCCUUGAAGCAUCCUCUUAAAGCUUUAAAUUCUCAACACUUCAAGGGGGCUACGCAGAAAAUUAGUUUGCUUUGAGAUAGCCUUCAUGAAGUUCAGAGGCAAAUGAACCAAGAUCAGUUCCCCAACCAGCUUUUAGAAGAGGAGAGGAGCAUUUUGGGUCAGUUGGAAAACUGGUGCAAGAUUGAGGAGACAAUUUGGCAACAAAAAUCCAGAGCUGACUGGAUUUCUCUAGGUGGUGCAAACACCAAAUUCUUUCAUGCCUAUGUCAAGGAGAGGCAAAGCCAAAAUGCUAUCAAACUGCUGCUCAGGGGUGAUGGAACCAGAUGCAACACUCAAAAUAUGAUCAAGGACGAAGUUGUGCACUUCUAUAAGCUUCUGAUGGGGUCUGCUGCUAGUUCUUUGCCUAUGUUGGAUAAGAUAUACUUCGUAAAUGCUCUGUGCUCACUCAUCAACACCAACUAGACCUUUGUGUUCCUUUCACACCUCUGGAGAUCAAAAAGGCUCAGUUUGAAAUGGACUCUCAAAAAGCUCCCGGUAUUAAUGGUUUUAACGUUCAUUUUUCAAGUAGGCUUGGUGUGUGGUUGGUGCUAGUGUUGUUGAUGCAAUUCAAAAUUUCUUUGAUACAGAGUUUUUACUUUUUACCUAAACAGUUAAACUGUACUUAUGUGACCUUAAUUCCUAAGGUUGAUAAUGCAGUCACUGUCAGGGAGUAUAGACCCAUUGCUUGUUGCUCUGUUGUGUACAAGAUUAUUUCAAAGGUCUUAACAAACAGAAUGCAACACAUCCUGCCUUUUCAGAUUGGGGAAGGGCCAUCUGCUUUUGUUAAAAGUAGGGUCAUUUUUUAUAAUAUUUUGAUUAGCCAUGAGCUUGUUAAAGGGUAUGGGAGGAAAAACAUCUUCCCUAGAUGUAUGCUUAAGAUUGAUCUCCAGAAAGCUUAUGAUUCCGUAGAGUGGCUGUUCAUUAAGCAUCUGAUGCUGGAAUUGGGGUUUCCAUACAAGUUUGUCAAGUGGGUUACGGCAUGUCAAACUACGGUUCCUUUUCUUUUAAUGUAAACGGGAAAUGACUGUUCCUUUUGAAGAAAAAAAGGGUUGAGACAAGGUGACCCCAUCUCACCUUAUCUAUUUGUGCCCUAUAUGGAGUACUUAAAUAGAUGCCUUUGUGACCUAAGAAACAACUCUAGUUUCCACUUUCAUCCUCGAUGUAAAAGGCUCAAUUUGACCCAUGUUUGUUUUGCGGAUGACUUGCUACUUUUUGCAAGAGGGGAUAUUUCUUCUGUUAGGUGCUUGUUUGAAGCCUUUUCAAAAUUCUCUGUUGCUUUACAAGCUAAUGUUGCAAAGAAUGCCAUUUAUUUUGGUGGUGUGCCUGAAACAUUCAAGAGUCGAUUCUUUCUGAGUUUAAUGUAAUCAAGGGUGACCUCCCGUUCAAAUAUCUUGGGGUCCCUCUAUCUACAAGGAAGUUAACUGUUAUGCAGUGCCAGCCUUUGAUUAAGAAAAUUCUUGCACGCAUAGACAGUUGGACUUCAAAAUUGCUUUCAUUAUGCAGGUCGUUUGCAGCUUAUCAAAUUACUUGGUGUUCAGACCUAGUGGUGCCAGGUAUUUCUCUUACCAAAGAAAGUUAUUAAGCUUCUGCAAGCAGCUUGUAGGACUUUCGUUUGGGCUGGCAGUUCCAAUGUUUCAAAGAGGGCUUUAGUAACUUGGGAUAAGAUUUGCUUACCUAAGGCUGUUGGUGGAUUGAAUGUGAUUGAUAUUGGAAUAUGGAAUAAAGCUGCAAUCUACAAACUUUUCUGGAACAUAGCUCAAAAGAAGGAUAAGCUAUGGGUGCGUUGGAUUCAUCAGUAUUAUGUGAAGGGGAACAAUAUUAUCACUAUGUUGGUGCCACAUCAAGCCUCAUGGGUGAUAAAAAAGAUCUUCAAUGCCAGAACUUAUGCUCCUGGUAACUCGAAUAUUGUUCAGCAACACAAACUAUCUAUUAGUCAAAUGUAUAGGGAAUUACGAGGUAAUUUUCAGAAUGUAUAGGCAGUUGUUGAAGCAGCACAACAGCAACUCUGUCUCACAUAAUGUCUACAGAAUGGCUAUCUCUGUGACUGUUUGCUGUUUGUGGAAAGAGAGGAAUGCAAGACGGUUAUCUCAGCUGAUGCAGACUCCGAAUAUGAUUGUUAGGCAUGCUUCAAUGUUAAUCUAUACUAGAUGUUAUAGUAUUAAGAAGUUUGCUAGCAUAGUCUAGGUAUUUUGGGUGCCUUGCUGCUGUUGCAGUUGGCUUGUGUUUUUUUGGGUAGUUCUUGUCUAUUGGCUGCUUGGAACAUGUGUUUGUAUGAAGUUUGUUCUUUCUUGAUUUUUGGAAAUAAAUCUCUACUAUUCACCAAAAAAAAAAA